AGAGUUUGAUCCUGGCUCAGAGCGAACGUUUGCGGCGGGCUUAACACAUGCAAGUCGUACGAGAAUCUCCGCUUCGGUGGAGAGGAAAGUGGCGCACGGGUGCGUAACACGUGGGUAAUCAACCCUCUAGAUUGGGACAACCCGGGGAAACUCGGGCUAAUACCAGAUGUCGCGUUGGGCUCUUCGGGGCCGAACGUAAAAGGAGCAAUCCGCUAGAGGACGAGCCCGCGGCCCAUCAGCUAGUUGGCGAGGUAAUGGCUCACCAAGGCGAAGACGGGUAGCUGGUCUGAGAGGAUGAUCAGCCACACUGGAACUGAGACACGGUCCAGACUCCUACGGGAGGCAGCAGUGGGGAAUAUUGCGCAAUGGGCGAAAGCCUGACGCAGCCACGCCGCGUGAGCGAUGAAGGUCUUAGGAUCGUAAAGCUCUGUGGAGAGAGAAGAAACCUGACGGUAUCU
rnacentral:rRNA from 1 species